GAUGAACGCUGGCGGCGUGCCUAAUACAUGCAAGUCGAGCGAACAGACGAGGAGCUUGCUCCUCUGACGUUAGCGGCGGACGGGUGAGUAACACGUGGAUAACCUACCUAUAAGACUGGGAUAACUUCGGGAAACCGGAGCUAAUACCGGAUAACAUGUUGAACCGCAUGGUUCAACAGUGAAAGACGGUCUUGCUGUCACUUAUAGAUGGAUCCGCGCCGCAUUAGCUAGUUGGUAAGGUAACGGCUUACCAAGGCAACGAUGCGUAGCCGACCUGAGAGGGGGAUAGGCCACACUGGAACUGAGACAGGGUCCAGACUCCUACGGGAGGCAGCAGUAGGGAAUCGUCCGCAAUGGGCGAAAGCCUGACGGAGCAACGCCGCGUGAGAGAAGAAGGUCUUCGGAUCGUAAAACUCUGUUAUUAGGGAAGAACAAAUGUGUAAGUAACUAUGCACGUCUUGACGGUACCUAAUCAGAAAGCCACGGCUAACUACGUG
rnacentral:rRNA from 1 species